rnacentral:rRNA from 1 species
GACGUAGGAGGCGAGCGUUGUCCGGAUUUACUGGGCGUAAAGCGCGCGCGGGCGGCCCCGCAGGUCGGCAGUGAAAGCCCCCGGCUCAACCGGGCGGAGGCGGUCGAAACCGCGGGGCUGGAGGGCGAUAGAGGGCGGUGGAAUUCCCGGUGUAGUGGUGAAAUGCGUAGAUAUCGGGAGGAACACCCGCGGCGAAGGCGGCCGCCUGGGUCGGCCCUGACGCUGAGGCGCGAAGGCCGGGGGAGCGAACGGG